GGGUUGUGAGGUUAAGCGACUAAGCGUACACGGUGGAUGCCCUGGCAGUCAGAGGCGAUGAAGGACGUGCUAAUCUGCGAUAAGCGUCGGUAAGGUGAUAUGAACCGUUAUAACCGGCGAUUUCCGAAUGGGGAAACCCAGUGUGAUUCGUCACACUAUCAUUAACUGAAUCCAUAGGUUAAUGAGGCGAACCGGGGGAACUGAAACAUCUAAGUACCCCGAGGAAAAGAAAUCAACCGAGAUUCCCCCAGUAGCGGCGAGCGAACGGGGAGGAGCCCAGAGCCUGAAUCAGUGUGUGUGUUAGUGGAAGCGUCUGGAAAGGCGCGCGAUACAGGGUGACAGCCCCGUACACAAAAAUGCACAUACUGUGAGCUCGAUGAGUAGGGCGGGACACGUGGUAUCCUGUCUGAAUAUGGGGGGACCAUCCUCCAAGGCUAAAUACUCCUGACUGACCGAUAGUGAACCAGUACCGUGAGGGAAAGGCGAAAAGAACCCCGGCGAGGGGAGU
rnacentral:rRNA from 1 species